rnacentral:tRNA from 1 species
GCUGCUGUAGCUCAGUCGGCAGAGCACUUCCUUGGUAAGGAAGAGGUCAGGGGUUCGAUUCCCCUCAGCAGCUCCA